rnacentral:rRNA from 1 species
GCGUUGUCCGGAUUUACUGGGCGUAAAGGAUGCGUAGGCGGACAUUUAAGUCAGAUGUGAAAUACCCGAGCUUAACUUGGGUGCUGCAUUUGAAACUGGGUGUCUAGAGUGCAGGAGAGGUAAGUGGAAUUCCUAGUGUAGCGGUGAAAUGCGUAGAGAUUAGGAAGAACACCAGUGGCGAAGGCGACUUACUGGACUGUACCUGACGCUGAGGCAUGAAAGCGUG